AGUAACCAACACAGUCAUGAGAUAACAAGAAGGGUGGGGUCAGACAAUAGACAGGAGAGCACAUGGCACCAACAAACAAUAAGCCAUGUG